rnacentral:rRNA from 1 species
GUUCAGCACUAAGUCACUUUGUCUUUAUGGCAAAUGUGAGAUGCAGUGUAUGGAAUGUCAAAUUUCUAGUAUGAGAAAUUAACGAUUUAAGUCCUUCUUAAAUGAGGCCAUUUACCCACAGAGGGUGCCAGGCCCGUAUAACGUUAAUGAUUACUAGAUGGCAUUUCCAAAGAGUCGUGUUGCUUGAUAGUGCAGCACUAAGUGGGUGGUAAACUCCAUCUAAAACUAAAUAUAACCAUGAGACCGAUAGUAAACAAGUACCGUGAGGGAAAGUUGAAAAGAACUCUGAAUAGAGAGUUAAAUAGUACGUGAAACUGCUUAGAGGUUAAGCCCGAUGAACCUGAAUAUCCAUUAUAGAAAAUUCAUCAUUAUGAUUUUAAUAUUAAUAAUAUUAUAAUAAUAGUGUGCAUUUUUUCUAUAAGGGACAUUGUAAUCUAUUAACAUAAAUAUAUUUAUCAUAAGAUCAAUGAUGCGUAAGUUUAUUUAAAUUAUUUUGCUUGCAAUUUAACAUAGAAUAAAUGCUCUUGAUUUGAUAAAGUGUUGAUAGAUUUAUUGUAUAUAGUGCUUAAAUAUUUAUAUUUUAUAAUAGCAUAUUAAUCAUUGAUUUUUAUGUUUAUUAUAUGCACUUAUAUGAUUUACAAUGCGAAAGAUUCAGGAUACCUUCGGGACCCGUCUUGAAACACGGACCAAGGAGUCUAACAUAUUUGCAAGUUAUUGGGUAUCAAAACCUAAUAGCGAAAUUAACAUAACUUUUUAUGGGAUUAGUUUUUAGAUUAUUUAUAGUCUAUUAAUUCAAUCCCGGGGCGUUCUAUAUAGUUAUGUAUAAUAAUAUUUAUAUUAUUUAUACCUCUAACUAGAGCGUACCUUGAG